rnacentral:piRNA from 1 species
UGCAAUGUGAUAGCUGAUUCCUGGUUAUC